rnacentral:rRNA from 1 species
ACACGCUGGCGGCAGGCCUACACAUUCAAUGUCGAACGGAUCCUUCGGGAUUAGUGGCGGACGGGUGAGUACUAGGGAACGGUGCCUUCUUUGGUUCGUGAACAACUCAGGAAACUUGAGCUAAUACCGGAUGUGCCCUUCGGGGGAAAGAUUUAUCGCCAUUGGAGCGGCCCGCGUCUGAUUAGCUAGUUGGUGGGGUAAAGGCCCACCAAGGCGACGAUCAGUAGCUGGUCUGAGAGGAUGAUCAGCCACAUUGGGACUGAGACACGGCCCAAACUCCUACGGGAGGCAGCAGUGGGGAAUCUUGCGCAAUGGGCGAAAGCCUGACGCAGCCAUGCCGCGUGAAUGAUGAACGUCUUAGGAUUGUAAAAUUCUUUCACCGGGGGACGAUAAUGACGGUACCCGGAGAAGAAGCCCCGGCUAACUUCGUGCCAGCAGCCGCGGUAAUACGAAGGGGGCUAGCGUUGCUCGGAAUUACUGGGCGUAAAGGGAGCGUAGGCGGACUGUUAAGUUAGAGUAAAGCCAGGGUCAACUUAGAAUUGCA